UACAGAGGGUGCGAGCGUUAAUCGGAAUUACUGGGCGUAAAGCGUGCGUAGACGGCUAUCUAAGUCGGGUGUGAAAGCCCCGGGCUCAACCUGGGAAUUGCAUUCGAGACUGAAUAGCUAGGGUACGGUAGAGGGAAGUGGAAUUUCCGGUGUAGCGGUGAAAUGCGUAGAUAUCGGAAGGAACAUCAGUGGCGAAGGCGGCGACCUGGAAGGUAACUGACACUGAGCAGCGAAAGCGUGGGGAGCAAACAGG
rnacentral:rRNA from 1 species